GAUGAACGCUGGCGGCGUGCCUAAUACAUGCAAGUCGAGCGAACAGACGAGGAGCUUGCUCCUCUGACGUUAGCGGCGGACGGGUGAGUAACACGUGGAUAACCUACCUAUAAGACUGGGAUAACUUCGGGAAACCGGAGCUAAUACCGGAUAAUAUAUUGAACCGCAUGGUUCAAUAGUGAAAGACGGUUUUGCUGUCACUUAUAGCUGGAUACGGGCCGCAUUAGCUAGUUGGUAAGGUAACGGCUUACCAAGGCAACGAGUGGUAGCCGACGUGAGAGGGUGAUCGGCCACACUGGAACUGAGACAGGGUCCAGAGGCCUGCGGGAGGCAGCAGUAGGGAAUCUUCCGCAAAGGGCGAAAGCCUGACGGAGCAACGCCGCGUGAGUGAUGAAGGUCUUCGGAUCGUAAAACUCUGUUAUUAGGUAAGAACAAAUGUGUAAGUAACUAUGCACGUCUUGACGGUACCUAAUCAGAAAGCCACGGCUAACUACGUG
rnacentral:rRNA from 1 species